GACAGCAGCCGCCGCGGUAAUACGGAGGGUGCAAGCGUUAAUCGGAAUUACUGGGCGUAAAGCGCACGCAGGCGGUCUGACAAGUCAGAUGUGAAAUCCCCGGGCUUAACCUGGGAACUGCAUUUGAAACUGUCAGGCUGGAGUCUUGUAGAGGGGGGUGGAAUUCCAGGUGUAGCGGUGAAAUGCGUAGAGAUCUGGAGGAAUACCGGUGGCGAAGGCGGCCCCCUGGACAAAGACUGACGCUCAGGUGCGAAAGCGUGGGGAGCAAACAGGAUUAGAUACCCGCGUAGUCCCUGUCUCUUAUAC
rnacentral:rRNA from 1 species